UAGCAGUUUAUCCUCUCCAGAUCGUCUUCAUCUCCUACUGGAUCGUAGACCAGUUUGUCUCCUGCUUACAAGCAUAGAGUUCUUCUUCAUCUAAGUUUGAAAGAUAUAAUCCAUUUUCUUCAGUGAUCUUCAAUCAACUAGCUUCAUUACCAUUAACUACCAUAGAUGGCCAGCCUGUUUCCGCCAGCACCAGAAGACCAGAGCAGAAAUACUGGAGGCACUGUUGGAGCUUGUGAGACCAUGAAUUUGCUUUCUCUGGCUAACCGAAAAUCCAGGUACUAUGAAUAGAGCUGUUUGAAGUUGGUUUCUGGGUGGAAAAACAAGCAGGAAAUUCCAGUAGGAUAAAUCAGUGGUCCUCUUUGUGGGCAGACAUGCCUGUUUCCAGUUCUGCAGUGCAAAGAAAAAAAUCAUCCAAUAUAAAGUGGAACGUACAGCAGGGAGGUGAGAAGAUGGAACAAUAGCAGAUGGGUUCAGCCGGUGGGGGAUGGUCCGUAUCGUGCUCUUGCACUUCGUCAGGCCCCACAAUAUCCUGCACAGCAGUCAUGUAAUAUACA